rnacentral:rRNA from 1 species
GUUAGACCGUGGCUUUCUGGUUAGGUACCGUCAAGGUACCGCCCUAUUCGAACGGUACUUGUUCUUCCCUAACAACAGUAGUUUUACGAUCCGAAAACCUUCAUCACUCACGCGAGCAGUUGCUCCGUCAGACUUUCGUCCAUUGCGGAAGAUUCCCUACUAGCUGCCUCCCGUAGGAGUCUGGGCCGUGUCUCAGUCCCAGUGUGGCCGAUCACCCUCUCAGGUCGGCUACGCAUCGUUGCCUUGGUGAGCCGUUACCUCACCAACUAGCUAAUGCGCCGCGGGUCCAUCUGUAAGUGGUAGCUAAAAGCCACCUUUUAUAAUUGAACCAUGCGGUUCAAUCAAGCAUCCGGUAUUAGCCCCGGUUUCCCGGAGUUAUCCCAGUCUUACAGGCAGGUUACCCACGUGUUACUCACCCGUCCGCCGCUAACAUCAGGGAGCAAGCUCCCAUCUGUCCGCUCGACUUGCAUGUAUUAGGCACGCCGCCAGCGUUCGUC